UACGUAGGUGGCAAGCGUUGUCCGGAUUUAUUGGGUUUAAAGGGUGCGUAGGCGGUCUAAUAAGUCAGUGCUGAAAUAUCCCGGCUUAACCGGGAGGGUGGCAUUGAUACUGUUGGACUUGAGUAGAGUUGAGGUUGGCGGAAUUGACGGUGUAGCGGUGAAAUGCUUAGAUAUCGUCAAGAACACCGAUAGUGAAGACAGCUAACUAAGCUCAAACUGACGCUGAGGCACGAAAAGUGUGGGGGAUCAAAACAGG
rnacentral:rRNA from 1 species